AUAUUUGGUACUCAUAUAUCUUCUUUGGUUAAAAUAUUUAAUUAAAACAAAUUAAGGUAACACAUGCCCAUGGUUUUAAAAAAUUCAAACAGUCAAAAGGGAAAACCGAAUCUCCUUCGUAUCCCUGGUAGGCCCGUGAAGAUGACAGCUGAGGAAACCGAGGCACAGGUCACUUUCCCCUGGUGACCCAGCUGGGAGGUGAGAGCGCUGGCAUUUGAACCAAGGCAGUGUGGCUCCAACGCCAAACUUUUAUCCAUUUUUACGCCUUUGGACUUCAAUGGGAACUACCCUACCAGCUUUCCUGAGUCUCCACCUUGCAGAUAGCGGAUGGUGGGACAUCUCAGCCUCCAUAAUCACCUCACAAAGCUGGUGACAUCUUGGAAGCCGCGUGUUGAGGAUGGCAGACUCACCGCUCUGAAGGACCACAUGGAAGAGUUGCUCCCAGCCCUGAACAGCUACCAAAAACUAUGAGAUAAGCAAGAAAUGCAGCUCCGGCGGACUGGGCUUCCACAGUGAUUCAUUCAGCCAGUAAACUAGAGGUCGCCAUGGGAGGCUGGGUCCAAAUCUGGCCCCAGGGCAUGUUUUCAUUGGCCUAUUUGGGUUGAAGGAAUUGCCAAAACGUGAAAACUGAAAGGCUUCGUAGAGUCAUCUGGAUUUCCGGUUUCUUUUAAAAACAUUUGGAAAAUCUGACUUGCCUGGCCUGCAUUCCGGCGUGGCAUUCGUCAGCUGGAGAUACAGCCAACUGCCCCCUUAGAAGCCCGUUCACCAUGGUCCUCGCCACUUCUUAAUGUGAGAACCGGCCACCCCACUCACUUACGUAACCCACCUGGCUCCUGUAGGCAUUUGACUGUGGGACCCUGUGAUACACGGUAGUUACUGAGUGACCGUCCUGUGCGGCUGCUGUUUCGGUUGAACAAGUAGCCAGCCAGGUGAGUGGGGGCAGGGCGGGUGGUACUGCUGUAUGCCUGCAGAACGAUGUACCUGAGAGUCCGGGUACAGUGGGCAGAGCCUGUCACAGGUAGGAAGGAGAUGGUGAAGGGGCCCUCUUUUCCUAAUCUCACGCCUGGUAUAUGACAGUCACUUUUUUAUAAUCUUAGUUUUCUUCCUUGAAGUGUAGCCUACAUACAUAUGAUAUGUGUAGCACACAUAUCAUAAAUAUACAGUGUGAUGAAGUGUCACAGACUGGACACAACUGUAUGACCAACACCCAGCUCAAGAAAGAGAAGAUCACCAGCACCUGCCAGAAUCCACCCCACGUCCCCUGUUAGUCUCUGACAGCCCCCUCUCGUUCCCGCCAAGAAUAACCACUAUCCUGAGUUUUAACAGCAUCAAUUGAUUCGCCCAUUUCUGCAUUUUAUGAUGUACGGAGCUGCAGCAGCCAUCUUGCAACCAUGAAGGAAAGACCAAGAGAACUGCAAUGACAUCAGCCCAACAUCAGUGAGCAGCUAAACUGACACUAGUACUUGCUCUUCUGGACUUCUUGUCAUAUGAUAGGAAUAAACUUCUAUUUAUCACUUUCUGUGACUUGCAACCAAAUUCAC
rnacentral:lncRNA from 1 species